rnacentral:rRNA from 1 species
UUCCGGUUGAUCCUGCCGGAGGUCAUUGCUAUUGGAGUCCGAUUUAGCCAUGCUAGUUGCACGAGUUCAGACUCGUAGCAGAUAGCUCAGUAACACGUGGCCAAACUACCCUAUGGAGCCGACCAACCUCGGGAAACUGAGGCUAAUUCGGCAUACGAAUCCCAGGCUGGAACUGCCGGGAUUGAGAAACGCUCCGGCGCCAUAGGAUGUGGCUGCGGCCGAUUAGGUAGACGGUGGGGUAACGGCCCACCGUGCCCAUAAUCGGUACGGGUUGUGAGAGCAAGAGCCCGGAGACGGUAUCUGAGACAAGAUACCGGGCCCUACGGGGCGCAGCAGGCGCGAAACCUUUACACUGCACGACAGUGCGAUAAGGGGACUCCAAGUGCGAGGGCAUAUCGUCCUCGCUUUUCACUACCGUAAGGUGGUAGUAGAAUAAGUGCUGGGCAAGACCGGUGCCAGCCGCCGCGGUAAUACCGGCAGCACGAGUGAUGACCGCUCUUAUUGGGCCUAAAGCGUCCGUAGCUGGCCACGCAAGUCUAUCGGGAAAUCCGCGCGCCCAACGCGCGGGCGUCCGGUGGAAACUGCGUGGCUUGGGACCGGAAGACCUGAGGGGUACGUCCGGGGUAGGAGUGAAAUCCCGUAAUCCUGGACGGACCACCGGUGGCGAAAGCGCCUCAGGAAGACGGAUCCGACGGUGAGGGACGAAAGCUCGGGUCACGAACCGGAUUAGAUACCCGGGUAGUCCGAGCUGUAAACGAUGUCUGCUAGGUGUGACACAGGCUACGAGCCUGUGUUGUGCCGUAGGGAAGCCGUGAAGCAGACCGCCUGGGAAGUACGUCCGCAGGGAUGAAACUUAAAGGAAUUGGCGGGGGAGCACUACAACCGGAGGAGCCUGCGGUUUAAUUGGACUCAACGCCGGA